GAGCAUUUGGAGUGUUGCAGGCU
rnacentral:snRNA from 1 species